AGAGGCGGCGAGAAGCGGGCGGAGGCGGCCCAGCGGCGGCAGGUGAGGCGGAACCAACCCUCCUGGCCAUGGGAGGGGCCGUGGUGGACGAGGGCCCCACAGGCGUCAAGGCCCCCGACGGCGGCUGGGGCUGGGCCGUGCUCCUCGGCUGCUUUGUCAUCACUGGCUUCUCCUACGCCUUCCCCAAGGCCGUCAGUGUCUUCUUCAAGGAGCUCAUGCAGGAGUUUGGGAUCGGCUACAGCGACACAGCCUGGAUCUCCUCCAUCCUGCUGGCCAUGCUCUACGGGACAGGUCCGCUCUGCAGCGUGUGCGUGAACCGCUUUGGCUGCCGGCCCGUCAUGCUUGUGGGGGGCCUCUUUGCGUCGCUGGGCAUGGUGGCUGCGUCCUUUUGCCAGAGCAUCAUCCAAGGUUGGGUUUGGCGCUCAACUUCCAGCCCUCGCUCAUCAUGCUGAACCGCUACUUCAGCAAGCGGCGCCCCAUGGCCAACGGGCUGGCGGCAGCAGGUAGCCCCGUCUUCCUGUGUGCCCUGAGCCCGCUGGGGCAGCUGCUGCA
rnacentral:sRNA from 1 species